rnacentral:snRNA from 1 species
AUACUUACCUGGACGGGGUCUAUGAGUGAUCAUAAAGGCCCAUGGCCUAAAUCAGUGACUCUCAUUGCACUUUGAAAGGGCACUGAUUUAAGAUCUGCUCAUGUAGUGGAGUUUAUGUUAUAAUUUGUUACAGCGGGGGCUUGUGUUUGCCCGGCCCCUUC